rnacentral:rRNA from 1 species
CCUACGGGAGGCUGCAGUGAGGAAUAUUGGUCAAUGGACGAGAGUCUGAACCAGCCAAGUAGCGUGAAGGAUGACUGCCCUAUGGGUUGUAAACUUCUUUUAUAUGGGAAUAAAACGUUCCACGUGUGGGAUUUUGUAUGUACCAUAUGAAUAAGGAUCGGCUAACUCCGUGCCAGCAGCCGCGGUAAUACGGAGGAUCCGAUCGUUAUCCGGAUUUAUUGGGUUUAAAGGGAGCGUAGGUGGAUUGUUUAGUCAGUUGUGAAAGUUUGCGGCUCAACCGUAAAAUUGCAGUUGAAACUGGCAGUCUUGAGUACAGUAGAGGUGGGCGGAAUUCGUGGUGUAGCGGUGAAAUGCUUAGAUAUCACGAAGAACUCCGAUUGCGAAGGCAGUUCACUGGACUGCAACUGACACUGAGGCUCGAAAGUGUGGGUAUCAAACAGGAUUAGAUACCCUAGUAGUC